rnacentral:rRNA from 1 species
AUACGGAGGAUCCGAGCGUUAUCCGGAUUUAUUGGGUUUAAAGGGUGCGCAGGCGGCAAUUUAAGUCAGCGGUUAAAUCGUGGGGCUCAACCCCAUUCUGCCGAUGAUACUGGGUGGCUUGAUUGCGGUCGAGGUUGGCGGAAUUCGUUGUGUAGCGGUGAAAUGCAUAGAUAUGACGAAGAACACCGCUUGCGUAGUGAGCUGACCAGACCGCAAAUGACGCUCAUGCACGAAAGUGCUGGGAUCGAACAGGAUUAGAUGCCCUGGUAGUCCGCACAGUAAACGAUGAAUACUUGUUUUCGGCGAUAUAAUGUCGGAGGCAAAGCGAAAGCGAUAAGUAUUCCACCUGGGGAGUACGCCGGCACCGGUGAAACUCAAAUGAAUUGGCGGGG